UCCAGUAGCUUCGCCCCAUUGGCGGUCUG
rnacentral:sRNA from 1 species